UACAGGGGGGGGCAAGCGUUGUUCGGAAUUACUGGGCGUAAAGGGCUCGUAGGCGGCCGACUAAGUCCGACGUGAAAAUCCCAAAAGCUUAACUUUUGGAACUGCGUCGGAUACUGGAUGGCUUGAAUUCGGGGAGAGGGAUGCAGAAUUCCAGGUGUAGCGGUGAAAUGCGUAGAUAUCUGGAGGAACACCGGUGGCGAAGGCGGCGUCCUGGACCGAGAUUGACGCUGAGGCGCGAAAAGCCAGGGGGAGCAAAACGGGG
rnacentral:rRNA from 1 species